GUGGGGAAUUUUGGACAAUGGGCGAAAGCCUGAUCCAGCAAUGCCGCGUGUGUGAAGAAGGCCUUCGGGUUGUAAAGCACUUUUGUCCGGAAAGAAAUCCUCUGGGUUAAUACCUCGGGGGGAUGACGGUACCGGAAGAAUAAGCACCGGCUAACUACGUGCCAGCAGCCGCGGUAAUACGUAGGGUGCAAGCGUUAAUCGGAAUUACUGGGCGUAAAGCGUGCGCAGGCGGUUUUGUAAGACGGAUGUGAAAUCCCCGGGCUUAACCUGGGAACUGCAUUCGUGACUGCAAGGCUAGAGUAUGGCAGAGGGGGGUAGAAUUCCACGUGUAGCAGUGAAAUGCGUAGAGAUGUGGAGGAAUACCGAUGGCGAAGGCAGCCCCCUGGGCCAAUACUGACGCUCAUGCACGAAAGCGUGGGGAGCAAACA
rnacentral:rRNA from 1 species